rnacentral:lncRNA from 1 species
CUCAGUACCAGCUCAGGGGAAACAGGUCACAGUUUCAGGGCUCUGUGUGAGUGAUGUGUUGUGACUCCAGGGACAAAGCCUUCAGCCAGCAACUGUUCACUCCCAGCUGGGUCACUCGAACAGGCUUUUAAUGGCCAAAGACCACGUGCCACUUUGCCCAGGGUCUCACUUUCCUCCCUUCCUACUGACAGCCCACACCUAAUCUCUCUCUCACAGGGAAGUGGAGGAACUUCCUGGUUGCUAACUUGGAACUGAUUGGACUCCAUGGUUUAGUUCCCUCCUUUCUUUCAGGAAUGAGCCACCCAGGCAGUAGUCUCAAGAACUGGAAUCUAAUUGGGAGGACACUGAAAUAUUUUAAGCAGAGAGACCACCAUACCAAUUAUUUAUUUCUUAUCUCUCAGCGUCAAAUGCCUUCUUCGUUACUUGCUCUGUGAUUCUUUAAAUAUUGUAUUUUGCCCUUUGCCAGCUGAGAAAAACUAAGCUUUACCGUGAUACCAUGAUAUACAAAAAACUUAACACCAAAAAGCAAAUAAUCCAAUCAAUAAAUGGGCUAAGGAACUGAACAGACACUUCACAGAAGAAGAAAUACAAUUGAUCAACAAAUAUAUGAAAAAGUGUUCAACAUCUCUAACAAUUAGAGAAAUGCAAAUCAAAACUACUCUAAGAUUUCAUCUCACUCCGAUCAGAAUGGCAGUCAUCAAGAAUACAGCCAACAAUAAAUGUUGGCAAAGAUGUGGGGAAAAAGGCACACUCAUACAUUGCAGGCGGAACUGCAAAUUGGUGCAGCCACUGUGGAAAGCAGUAUGGAGAUUCCUCAGAAAACUGGGAAUAGAACCACCAUUUGACCCAGCUAUCCCACUCCUUGGUUUAUACCCAAAGGACUUAAAAUCAGCAUACUACAGUGACACGGCCACAUCAAUAUUUGUAGCAGCUCAAUUCACAAUAGCUAACUAUGGAACCAAACUAGGUGCCCUUCUACAGAUGAUGGAUAAUGAAAAUGUGGUAUUUUACUCUGCCUUAAAGAAGAAUGAUAUUAUGGCAUUUUCUGGUAAAUGGAUGGAGCUGAAGAAUACCAUGCUAAGCAAAAUAAGCCAACCCCAAAGAACCAAAGGCUGAAUGUUUUCUCUGUUAUGUGGAUGCUAAUUCACAAUGGGGGAAAUGGGGCUAGGGAAGAAUAGAG